GACAGAGGUCCCGAGCGUUAAGCGGAAUCACUGGGCUUAAAGCGUGUGUAGGCGGAUUGGUAAGUACCUUGUGAAAUCCCACGGCUUAACCGUGGAACUGCUUGGUAUACUGCUUAUCUUGGGCCACUUAGGGGUUACCGGAACAACGGUGGAGCGGUGAAAUGCGUAGAUAUCGUUUGGAACGCCAAUGGUGAAAACAGGUAACUGGGAGUGUGCCGACGCUGAGACACGAAGCCAGGGAGCGAACGGGA
rnacentral:rRNA from 1 species